GACGUAGGGCGCGAGCGUUGUCCGGAUUUAUUGGGCGUAAGGAGCUCGUAGGCGGCUUGUCGCGUCGUUCGUGAAAACCUGCAGCUCAACUGCAGGCUUGCGGUCGAUACGGGCAGGCUGGAGUUCGGUAGGGGAGACUGGAAUUCCUGGUGUAGCGGUGAAAUGCGUAGAUAUCAAGAGGAACACCUGAGGUGAAGACGGGUUGCUGGGCUGACACUGACGCUGAGGCGCGAAAGCUAGGGGAGCAAACGGG
rnacentral:rRNA from 1 species